GUACGGAAGGCAGCAGUGGGGAAUAUUGGACAAUGGGCGCAAGCCUGAUCCAGCCAUGCCGCGUGAAUGAUGAAGGCCUUAGGGUUGUAAAGUUCUUUCGUCGGGGACGAUAAUGACGGUACCCGAAGAAGAAGCCCCGGCUAACUCCGUGCCAGCAGCCGCGGUAAGACGGAGGGGGCUAGCGUUGUUCGGAAUUACUGGGCGUAAAGCGUGCGUAGGCGGCCUUUCAAGUUGGGUGUGAAAGCCCGGGGCUUAACCCCGGAAAUGCGCCCAAGACUGUUUGGCUAGAGUCUCGGAGAGGUGAGUGGAACUCCCAGUGUAGAGGUGAAAUUCGUAGAUAUUGGGAAGAACACCAGUGGCGAAGGCGGCUCACUGGACGAGUACUGACGCUGAGGCACGAAAGCGUGGGGAGCAAACAGGAUUAGAUACCCCGGUAGG
rnacentral:rRNA from 1 species